rnacentral:lncRNA from 1 species
GUCCACCUGGUCCACCCUCUGAGUCUAGCCAUAAACCUCGAGUCUACAGUGUGAUUGGUCCACCCGCACUGGGCCUUCAAUCCACCAGGUCCACUCUCUGACUCUACAGUAUGACUAGUCCGCCCACACCGGGCCUUCAGUCUGUCUGGUCCACUCUCCGAGCCUUCGGCACGUCUGGUCCGCCCUCUUGGGGCCUACAGCCUAUCCGGACCGCUCGCUGGGCCUUCGGAACAACCGGUCCGCCCUGGGUAUCUUGGCCUACAGCACAAAGCAGGACCCGCCUCAACCCAACUCCAGUCCAAACAACCAUGU